rnacentral:lncRNA from 1 species
AGAAUGGUGGGGAAGCAUUUCCCGUGGGACAACACAAGUGUGAGCUCCUGCAAAGGGGCCCAGAAUGGUGGGGAAGCAGAACUUCUGCCUCCAACUCACUUUCUCACUGUGCUACUGCGGAUCCAGAGGAAUCUCUGCAUGUGAGGCUCUGCCAGGGAGCUCAACCUCACAAGACAGACCGUCAUGUAGAGACAACUGCUACACAACAUGGGAAGAACUGCUAGAGAUGUAAAGAUGUAAAGACCCAAAAUGAAGAAGCCAGAACACAUGAACACAAAACCAGCCAACCAACAAACACAAGCAGCAUGGAGCAUAGAGUCUGGGGACCAACUGCAUGGUGCUGAGGAAUGCAGCAGUUACAAACAAACAAACUCACCAAAGAAAACACCAGACAAACAUACAUCCAAUAGUAUUGUGUCCGGAAUUGGUGGGUUCUUGGUCUCACUGACUUCAAGAAUGAAGCCACGGACCCUUGCGCUGAAGGCAAUUGAGAAAAAGAAGAUGCGAGAAGAGCUGUUUACCCUUCCUUUAUCUGCUUAAAAGCAAGGAAUAAAUUUCCAUUAUAAAGGUGUCCCCUUGUUCUCAUACCAAGAAGAGGAGACAGCAUCAAGAUUACUCUACAUAAAGAAACCCAACUAAAUAACCCUUAUCUAUAAUAGUUUCUCCCAUAUAUUUACCUUCCUACAAUUUAAUGCCCCUAGAAGCCCAAGCCCCUUUUCUUUGGUUGCUUCCCCACAAUUUAUCGUACUUUGUUAAAAUGGUAGGUAAGCUCCUAAGUGUAACCACUUCUUUGGAUUUUUUUAGUUCUUUCUCUGCAGUUCCCAUGCAUAUAAAAAUAUUAACAACAAAUAAAAUUUGUAUGCUCUUCA